rnacentral:rRNA from 1 species
CUACGGGCGGCUGCAGUGAGGAAUAUUGCACAAUGGGGGAAACCCUGAUGCAGCAACGCCGCGUGGAGGAUGACGCAUUUCGGUGUGUAAACUCCUUUUAUCAGAGAAGAAAAUGACGGUAUCUGAUGAAUAAGCUCCGGCUAACUCCGUGCCAGCAGCCGCGGUAAUACGGGGGGAGCAAGCGUUAUUCGGAAUCACUGGGCGUAAAGGACGCGUAGGCGGGUUUUUAAGUCAGGUGUGAAAUCCUAUGGCUCAACCAUAGAACUGCACUUGAAACUGGGGACCUAGAGUAUGGAAGGGGCAGGUGGAAUUAGUGGUGUAGGGGUAAAAUCCGUAGAUAUCACUAGGAAUACCGAAAGCGAAGGCGACCUGCUGGGACAUUACUGACGCUGAGGCGUGAAAGCGUGGGGAGCAAACAGGAUUAGAUACCCGCGUGUC